GAUGAAGAACGUAGCGAAAUGCGAUACGUAAUGUGAAUUGCAGAAUUCAGUGAAUCAUCGAGUCUUUGAACGCACAUUGCGCCCUCUGGUAUUCCGGAGGGCAUGCCUGUCCGAGCGUCAUUGCUGCCCUCAAGCACGGCUUGUGUGUUGGGCCCCGCCCCCCGAUCCCGGGGGCGGGCCCGAAAGGCAGCGGCGGCACCGCGUCCGGUCCUCGAGCGUAUGGGGCUUUGUCACCCGCUCUGUAGGCCCGGCCGGCGCUUGCCGAUCAACCAAACUUUUUUCCAGGUUGACCUCGGAUCAGGUAGGGAUACCCGCUGAACUUAAGCAUACAAUAACGGAGGA
rnacentral:misc_RNA from 1 species